rnacentral:rRNA from 1 species
UGGGGAAUAUUGCACAAUGGGCGCAAGCCUGAUGCAGCCAUGCCGCGUGUAUGAAGAAGGCCUUCGGGUUGUAAAGUACUUUCAGCGGGGAGGAAGGUGUUGUGGUUAAUAACCACAGCAAUUGACGUUACCCGCAGAAGAAGCACCGGCUAACUCCGUGCCAGCAGCCGCGGUAAUACGGAGGGUGCAAGCGUUAAUCGGAAUUACUGGGCGUAAAGCGCACGCAGGCGGUCUGUCAAGUCGGAUGUGAAAUCCCCGGGCUCAACCUGGGAACUGCAUCCGAAACUGGCAGGCUUGAGUCUUGUAGAGGGGGGUAGAAUUCCAGGUGUAGCGGUGAAAUGCGUAGAGGUCUGGAGGAAUACCGGUGGCGAAGGCGGCCCCCUGGACAAAGACUGACGCUCAGGUGCGAAAGCGUGGGGAGCAAACA